GACGAACGCUGGCGGCGUGCUUAACACAUGCAAGUCGAGCGGAGCGGCGAACGGGAGAGUAACGCGAGAGUAACUGCCCCCCUCUCUGGGAUAACAGUUGGAAACGGCUGCUAAUACCGGAUAGUGGGGGAUGACUCGCGUCCUAUCAGCUUGUUGGUGGGGUAGUGGCCUACCAAGGCGACGCCGGGUAGCCGGCCUGAGAGGGCGACCGGCCACAAUGGGCGUGGGUACGGGCCAAACUCCAACGGGGGGCAGCGGUGGGGAAUAUUGCACAGUGGGGGAAACCCUGAGGCAGCAACGCCGCGUGGGGGAUGACGGCCUUCGGGUUGUAAACCGCUUUCGGCCAUGACGCGGUAGUGGCAGAAGAAGCACCGGCUAACUACGUGCCAGCAGCCGCGGUAAUAC
rnacentral:rRNA from 1 species